rnacentral:rRNA from 1 species
GCGAGCGGCGGACGGGUGAGUAAUGCCUAGGGAUCUGCCCAGUCGAGGGGGAUAACAGUUGGAAACGACUGCUAAUACCGCAUACGCCCUACGGGGGAAAGGAGGGGACCUUCGGGCCUUCCGCGAUUGGAUGAACCUAGGUGGGAUUAGCUAGUUGGUGAGGUAAUGGCUCACCAAGGCGACGAUCCCUAGCUGUUCUGAGAGGAUGAUCAGCCACACUGGGACUGAGACACGGCCCAGACUCCUACGGGAGGCAGCAGUGGGGAAUAUUGCACAAUGGGGGAAACCCUGAUGCAGCCAUGCCGCGUGUGUGAAGAAGGCCUUCGGGUUGUAAAGCACUUUCAGUAGGGAGGAAAGGUAGCAGCUUAAUACGCUGUUGCUGUGACGUUACCUACAGAAGAAGGACCGGCUAACUCCGUGCCAGCAGCCGCGGUAAUACGGAGGGUCCGAGCGUUAAUCGGAAUUACUGGGCGUAAAGCGUGCGCAGGCGGUUUGUUAAGCGAGAUGUGAAAGCCCCGGGCUCAACCUGGGAAUUGCAUUUCGAACUGGCGAACUAGAGUCUUGUAGAGGGGGGUAGAAUUCCAGGUGUAGCGGUGAAAUGCGUAGAGAUCUGGAGGAAUACCGGUGGCGAAGGCGGCCCCCUGGACAAAGACUGACGCUCAGGCACGAAAGCGUGGGGAGCAAACAGGAUUA